CCGCUGUCAGCCUCGGCGUGCGUAAGAACCCCAACCCCUCAACGCAGCCCUGGGAAAGGUUUUGCACUCUUUGUGCGCAGGCAUCAUUUUGAGAACUGUGGACGUGAGUUUUGUGGAAAGUGUACCAGUGGCAGAAUUGCACUAACGACUGAAGAAAAUGCUCCUCAAGUUCCUGUCUGUGAUGAGUGCAUGGAAGAUGUGUCUCAAAGGUUGAUUGAGA